rnacentral:rRNA from 1 species
CUGUGAUGCCCUUAGAUGUUCUGGGCUGCACGCGUACUACAAUGGAACUCGCAUCGAGUCGCGAAACUGAGAAGUUAAGCGAAUCUUGGAAUGUGUUCCGUGACCGGGACAGUUGAUUGCAAUUAUUCAACUCGAACGAGGAA